UACGGGGGGGGCAAGCGUUGUUCGGAAUUACUGGGCGUAAAGCGUGCGUAGUCGGUUAUUUAAGUCGGGUGUGAAAGCCCCGGGCUCAACCUGGGAAUUGCAUUCGAGACUGAAUAGCUAGGGUACGGUAGAGGGAAGCGGAAUUUCCGGUGUAGCGGUGAAAUGCGUAGAUAUCGGAAGGAACAUCAGUGGCGAAAGCGGCUUCCUGGACCAGUACCGACGUUCAGGCACGAAAGCGUGGGGAGCAAACAGG
rnacentral:rRNA from 1 species